UCAGACGAUGCGUCAUGCAUAUCAAUAAGCGGAGGAAAAGAAACUAACAAGGAUUCCCCUAGUAACGGCGAGUGAAGCGGGAAGAGCUCAAAUUUGAAAUCUUAAAGGGUUUCCCUUUACGUAUUGUAGUUUAAAGAAGUGUUCUCUGUUGAGGUUUUGGUAAAAGUUCUUUGGAAUAGGACAUCAUAGAGGGUGAGAAUCCCGUAUUUGACCUUUACUUUCAACUUUGUGAUACACUUUCAAAGAGUCGGAUUGUUUGGGAAUGCAGUCCAAAAUGGGUGGUAAAUUUCAUCUAAAGCUAAAUAUUGGCGAGAGACCGAUAGCGAACAAGUACCGUGAGGGAAAGAUGAAAAGAACUUUGAAAAGAGAGUUAAACAGUACGUGAAAUUGUCAAAAGGGAAGCGUUUGACACCAGUGUUGUUUUUCUGAAAAUCAAUUAAAGAACUGUUUAUGCUAAGCUGUUUAGACUUUAUCAGUUAAUCUGUUUAGUUUUGAGCUUUUCUUUAAUGCACUUUUCAGUUAACAAGUCAACAUCAAUUUCUUUUGCUGUAAAAAAGCUUGAGGAAGGUGGCUUGAGAUUCGUCUUAAGUGUUUAUAGCCUCUUGCCUAUGCAGUCGGAGAGAUUGAGGUCCGCAGCGUAGAUCCUUCGGGGCUAAAUGCAUUUGUGCUAAGUUAUAGCAUUUCAUAGACAACUUGUUGACUAUGAUUUGUCUUGUAGCUUACUCGCUUAUGUUAUUUUACCUACGCUUAGGAUGUUGACACACGCGCGUGCUCG
rnacentral:rRNA from 1 species